rnacentral:rRNA from 1 species
UACGUAGGGGGCAAGCGUUGUCCGGAUUUAUUGGGCGUAAAGAGCGUGUAGGCGGCCAUACAGGUCCGUUGUGAAAACUGGAGGCUUAACCUCCAGACGUCGAUGGAAACCGUAUGGCUAGAGUACGGAAGAGGCGAGUGGAAUUCCUGGUGUAGCGGUGGAAUGCGCAGAUAUCAGGAGGAACACCAAUAGCGAAGGCAGCUCGCUGGGACGUUACUGACACUGAGGCGCGAAAGCGUGGGGAGCGAACAGG